rnacentral:rRNA from 2 species
GCGGAGGAAAAGAAACCAACAGGGAUUGCCCCAGUAACGGCGAGUGAAGCGGCAACAGCUCAAAUUUGAAAUCUGGUCCCCCCGCGGGGCCCGAGUUGUAAUUUGAAGAGGAUGCUUCUGGCAAGGUGCCGUCCGAGUUCCCUGGAACGGGACGCCGCAGAGGGUGAGAGCCCCGUACGGUCGGACGCCGAGCCUCUGUGAAGCUCCUUCGACGAGUCGAGUAGUUUGGGAAUGCUGCUCAAAAUGGGAGGUAAACCCCUUCUAAAGCUAAAUACCGGCCAGAGACCGAUAGCGCACAAGUAGAGUGAUCGAAAGAUGAAAAGCACUUUGAAAAGAGAGUUAAAAAGCACGUGAAAUUGUUGAAAGGGAAGCGCUUGCGACCAGACUCGCGCCCGUCGGAUCAGCCGUCGCUCGUCGGCGGCGCACUCCGGCGGGCUCGGGCCAGCAUCAGUUCGCCUCGGGGGGAGAAAGGCGGCGGGAAUGUGGCUCUACGGAGUGUUAUAGCCCGCCGCGUAAUACCCCCGGGCGGAC